CAGCAGUAGCCGCGGUAAUACGUAGGGUGCAAGCGUUAAUCGGAAUUACUGGGCGUAAAGCGUGCGCAGGCGGUUUUGUAAGACAGAGGUGAAAUCCCCGGGCUCAACCUGGGAACUGCCUUUGUGACUGCAAGGCUAGAGUACGGCAGAGGGGGAUGGAAUUCCGCGUGUAGCAGUGAAAUGCGUAGAUAUGCGGAGGAACACCGAUGGCGAAGGCAAUCCCCUGGGCCUGUACUGACGCUCAUGCACGAAAGCGUGGGGAGCAAACAGGAUUAGAUACCCGAGUAGUCCCUGUCUCUUAUAC
rnacentral:rRNA from 1 species